rnacentral:rRNA from 1 species
UACGAAGGGGGCUAGCGUUGCUCGGAAUCACUGGGCGUAAAGCGCACGUAGGCGGCUUUUUAAGUCAGAGGUGAAAUCCUGGAGCUCAACUCCAGAACUGCCUUUGAUACUGGAGUGCUUGAGUCCGGGAGAGGUGAGUGGAACUGCGAGUGUAGAGGUGAAAUUCGUAGAUAUUCGCAAGAACACCAGUGGCGAAGGCGGCUCACUGGCCCGGUACUGACGCUGAGGUGCGAAAGCGUGGGGAGCAACAGGG